UAUUAUAUCCGUCAUUUUCUCCAGUGUCUAAUAUGAAUAGAGUUUUUAAAUUGGAAAGAGGUCAGGAGGUGGCCAGGACCUAGGACCUGUUUCUGGUUGUUUGACUACCUAUUUACUGUGCUACAUGAAGACAUCGUAACUAGGCAGGAAGUAGAAUGUUGUGCUUACAGCCUGGAUUCUGGAAUUAACCUCCCUGGGUUUAAAUCCUGGUUCUGCCCCUUACAAACUGGGAGAUCUUGGAAUCUUUUGGGAUUGGGGAGCCUGAGAGUUCUGGACAAUGCCCAGGAGUGAGCUCUGACAGCAGAGGGCUCAAGUGUAUGGAACAAAGAGCAUCUCUCUAAUACCUCCACACGAACAACAAUUAGACUGACAAAGUAUUCCUGGAUAAAACCUUGCCUGUCAGUGCUGUGAAGUGGUCAUUCCAUUAUCUUCUGGCAUUGGAUGUCGCAGCAGAGAAGUCUGAGAGUUCCCUGCUUUUGGCUGCUUUAAAUGGCAUUUUCUCAGUGUGGUUGCAUUGCUCAUAAUUUCAUGUGUCCUGAAUGCUAGUCUUGGCUGAGAUUCCAGGAACAAACACAGAGGUGAGUCAAGACUGACUUGAUUGACCUGUAGAUUAAAGAGUGGCGAGAAAAGCAAAAUCUGAAAAUCAGCAUGGAGUGAUGGAACCAGAGUCAAGACCCAAGGGCAUAAUGCAAGUGAAGCAGCGGUGUGAAGACAGAGAGGCAGAGACCUGGUGCAAAACACUGACACAGAAAGCAAAGGAAGAAGUAUUAAGAUAAGAGUCAAGGAAGCUUUCAACAGAAUGUGCUUUACUGGGCCAGAAAAAUUGCCGUCUAGCUCCACCCUCAAUCAGUAAAGGAGAUAACCUCAAGGAGUUGUAACAAACACAAACAGAAUGUUGAACCACAGCACCUCUUGGACUUCAGAAAUGAGCCUUCCAAAUGCCAAGCUUCAAAAGAAAAUGCUCUUUAGUUCAUCUCUCCUUUGCUAACUUAUGCAGAGAAGUGAAACACCAUCAGAAUGAUCAAAUGCACUGGAGUGAUCCUGUAAACAGUGAAAAGAAGUUCUCUAUUCAGUACAUAAAUCCCUUAUCAGAUGGCCAAGGAUGAAGAUUACGGUCUAUUUUAAAUAAACCACAUUCCAUGCUACUGGUAACAGAUUUCCAGAGUGGAAAGUUCAGAACUUCACACAGAGCCUAGACCAGAAGAAAUGACAUCUUUCCAGGUACU